rnacentral:rRNA from 1 species
AGCGAACGCUGGCGGCAGGCCUAACACAUGCAAGUCGAACGAACCUUUCGGGGUUAGUGGCGGACGGGUGAGUAACACGUGGGAACGUGCCUUUAGGUUCGGAAUAACUCAGGGAAACUUGUGCUAAUACCGAAUGUGCCCUUCGGGGGAAAGAUUAAUCGCCUUUAGAGCGGCCCGCGUCUGAUUAGCUAGUUGGUUGAGGUAAUGGCUCACCAAGGCGACGAUCAGUAGCUGGUCUGAGAGGAUGAUCAGCCACAUUGGGACUGAGACACGGCCCAAACUCCUACGGGAGGCAGCAGUGGGGAAUCUUGCGCAAUGGGCGAAAGCCUGACGCAGCCAUGCCGCGCGAAUGAUGAAGGUCUUAGGAUUGUAAAAUUCUUUCACCGGGGACGAUAAUGACGGUACCCGGAGAAGAAGCCCCGGCUAACUUCGUG